UUAAAUUGAAGAGUUUGAUCAUGGCUCAGAUUGAACGCUGGCGGCAGGCCUAACACAUGCAAGUCGAACGGUAACAGGAAGCAGCUUGCUGCUUUGCUGACGAGUGGCGGACGGGUGAGUAAUGUCUGGGAAACUGCCCGAUGGAGGGGGAUAACUACUGGAAACGGUAGCUAAUACCGCAUAAUGUCGCAAGACCAAA
rnacentral:rRNA from 1 species